AGAGUUUGAUCCUGGCUCAGAAUCAACGCUGGCGGCGUGCCUAACACAUGCAAGUCGAACGAGAAAGUGGUAGCAAUACCAUGAGUACAGUGGCGCACGGGUGAGUAACACGUGACUAACCUACCCUGGAGUGGGGGAUAACUGAGGGAAACCUUAGCUAAUACCGCAUAAUACCUACGGGUCAAAGGAGCAAUUCGCUUCAGGAGGGGGUCGCGGCCGAUUAGUUAGUUGGCGGGGUAAUGGCCCACCAAGACAGUGAUCGGUAUCCGGCCUGAGAGGGCGCACGGACACACUGGAACUGAAACACGGUCCAGACUCCUACGGGAGGCAGCAGUGGGGAAUUUUGCGCAAUGGGGGAAACCCUGACGCAGCAACGCCGCGUGGAGGAUG
rnacentral:rRNA from 1 species